rnacentral:rRNA from 1 species
UACGAAGGGGGCUAGCGUUGCUCGGAAUCACUGGGCGUAAAGGGUGCGUAGGCGGGUCUUUUAAGUCAGGGGUGAAAUCCUGGAGCUCAACUCCAGAACUGCCUUUGAUACUGAAGAUCUUGAGUUCGGGAGAGGUGAGUGGAACUGCGAGUGUAGAGGUGAAAUUCGUAGAUAUUAGCUAGAACACCAGUGGCGAAGGCGGCCAACUGGUCCGGUACUGACGCUGAGGUGCGAAAGCGUGGGGAGCAAACAGG